rnacentral:sRNA from 1 species
UGUACAUCAACAACAAAGUACUUUCAUAGCAUAGCAAAAGGCAAUUCAAGUUCUAACAUUAAACAUCUACUCUACAAAAGGGUUACACCAGUAACAUCGUUGUUAGUAGGAUCCUCUUCUACAACUUCCCCAUAAGCAACUGUUGUUACCACGUUUUCCUCAUCAACUCCAACUUCAGUCGUAGGAGUAGGCUUAUUCUCCAACAGAGUACCUUCAGGAAUGUCCAUGAGGGGUACCAAUUUCCCUUGAUAAACAUCCUUCUUCGUAUCAAAUUCAACACCUUCAGUUGAUACGUUCAGCAGAUGUGAUACUUGCCUCAAGACCUUUUUAAAGCCUCGAGUAUGCUCUUCAACAAUCGCCCUCCCCAUCUCUUCCAUUAACUCCUUGUCCUCAGCAACUUUGGUGAGCAACGCAUCCCUCUUUGCUCGGGCCUCCUUUCCAGCAGUCUUCAAUGAAGCAAUGACAUUAUUUUGGUUGAAAGCCUCUUUCUUCAGCAGUUCUAGUUCAACAACUAAGCGGUCACGAUCUUUCUUCAGCUCGGCGCCAGCCCUCUGCAUGUUUCCCACUAGAGUCUGAGCUUCGCUCGGUCCUCAGGACUCCUCUAUCAAAGGCAUACGCCAGAUGCCAAGUAGCCACUGCUGCGCGACAUGUCAGCUCCAUGGCAUUGUCGACCAUUUGUUGCUCAGACAUGCCUUCUACCACUUUCUUCUCAGCCUCAUCCAGAUUAAAGGCAAUCUUAUGGCCCACGUUGAAAGCUUUAUUAAUUUUGCCAAUGAAUGGUCCUAGAACUAUUUAUGUCAGGC